rnacentral:rRNA from 1 species
CCAAUAGCGUAUAUUAAAGUUGUUGCAGUUAAAAAGCUCGUAGUUGAAUUUCGGGACCGGACUACUGGUCGUGCUUUUGUACGUACUGGUAUUAUUGGUUUCUACUUUCUGACGAAUCAUGAUGCCAUUAAUUUGGUGUUUUGGGGAAUCAGGACUGUUACUUUGAAAAAAUUAGAGUGUUUAAAGCAGGCGCACGCUUGAAUACAUUAGCAUGGAAUAACGAAAUAGGACGUUUGAUUUUAUUUUGUUGGUUUCUAGGAUCGACGUAAUGAUUAAUAGGGAUAGUUGGGGGCAUUAGUAUUCAAUUGUCAAAGGUGAAAUUCUUGGAUUUAUUGAAGACUAACUACUGCGAAAGCAUUUGCCAAGGAUGUUUUCAUUAAUCAAGAACGAAAGUUAGGGGAUCGAAGACGAUCAGAUACCGUCGUAGUCUUAACCAUAAACUAUGCCGACUAGGGAUCGGAUGAUGUUAAUUUUUUAAUGACUCAUUCGGCGCCUUACG